rnacentral:lncRNA from 1 species
GUCUUAUUGCUGUGGCUGUGAAAAAUCAUUGGAAUUUAUUUCAACUAGAUGUUAAUAAUGCUUUCUUACAUGGUGAUUUGGAUGAGGAGGUCUAUAUGACGCUCCCUCCAGGUUUGACUGUUUCUGCCUCCUCUGCCUCUACUCCCCCUGUUUGCAAAUUAAACAAAUCCCUGUAUGGGCACAGACAGGCAUCCAGACAAUGGUAUGCCAAAUUGUCUUAUGCCCUAUAUUCCAGAGGCUAUAGACAUUCUUUGAAUGAUUAUUCCCUAUUCAUCAAAGGUACACCAGAGUCCCUUGUGAUUGUAGCUAUCUAUGUGGAUGAUAUUAUUCUUACUGGGGAUGACUGUGAUGAAAUUGAUGCCCUGAAAAUGUUUCUGGAUGAUCAGUUCAAAAUUAAGGACCUAAGGUCCUUACAUUACUUUUUAGGCAUAGAGAUGUCAGCUGUUCCUGGUGGGAUGAUCCUUAAUCAGCAUAAAUAUAUUUCUGACCUGCUGCAACAGUUUGACUGUGUCAAUGAUUCUUUGAAUGAUUAUUCCCUAUUCAUCAAAGGUACACCAGGGUCCCUUGUGAUUGUAGCUAUCUAUGUGGAUGAUAUUAUUCUUACUGGGGAUAACUGUGAUGAAAUUGAUGCCCUGAAACUGUUUUUGGAUGAUCAGUUCAAAAUUAAGGACCUAGGGUCCUUACAUUACUUUUUAGGCAUAGAGAUGUCAGCUGUUCCUGGUGGGAUGAUCCUUAAUCAGCACAAAUAUAUUUCUGAUUUGCUGCAACAAUUUGACUGUGUCAAUGUCUCUUCUGUUGUUUGUCCUUUUGACAUUAAUGCAAAAUUACAUGCUGAUUCU